GUCCGCACCGUAAACGAUGAUCACUCGUUGUUGGCGAUACACAGUCAGCGACUAAGCGAAAGCAUUAAGUGAUCCACCUGGGAAGUACGACCGCAAGGUUGAAACUCAAAGGAAUUGACGGGGGCCCGCACAAGCGGAGGAGCAUGUGGUUUAAUUCGAUGGUACGCGAGGAACCUUACCUGGGCUUGAAAGACAGAUGACCGUUUCCGAAAGGAGACUUUUCGCAAGAACAUUUGUCUAGGUGCUGCAUGGCUGUCGU
rnacentral:rRNA from 1 species